rnacentral:rRNA from 1 species
UGAGUAACACGUGGGUAACCUGCCCAGAAGUAGGGGAUAACACCUGGAAACAGAUGCUAAUACCGUAUAACAGAGAAAACCGCAUGGUUUUCUUUUAAAAGAUGGCUCUGCUAUCACUUCUGGAUGGACCCGCGGCGUAUUAGCUAGUUGGUGAGGUAAAGGCUCACCAAGGCAGUGAUACGUAGCCGACCUGAGAGGGUAAUCGGCCACAUUGGGACUGAGACACGGCCCAGACUCCUACGGGAGGCAGCAGUAGGGAAUCUUCCACAAUGGACGCAAGUCUGAUGGAGCAACGCCGCGUGAGUGAAGAAGGGUUUCGGCUCGUAAAGCUCUGUUGUUAAAGAAGAACGUGGGUAAGAGUAACUGUUUACCCAGUGACGGUAUUUAACCAGAAAGCCACGGCUAACUACGUGCCAGCAGCCGCGGUAAUACGUAGGUGGCAAGCGUUAUCCGGAUUUAUUGGGCGUAAAGCGAGCGCAGGCGGUCUUUUAAGUCUAAUGUGAAAGCCUUCGGCUCAACCGAAGAAGUGCAUUGGAAACUGGGAGACUUGAGUGCAGAAGAGGACAGUGGAACUCCAUGUGUAGCGGUGAAAUGCGUAGAUAUAUGGAAGAACACCAGUGGCGAAGGCGGCUGUCUGGUCUGCAACUGACGCUGAGGCUCGAAAGCAUGGGUAGCGAACAGGAUUAGAUACCCUGGUAGUCCAUGCCGUAAACGAUGAUUACUAAGUGUUGGAGGGUUUCCGCCCUUCAGUGCUGCAGCUAACGCAUUAAGUAAUCCGCCUGGGGAGUACGACCGCAAGGUUGAAACUCAAAAGAAUUGACGGGGGCCCGCACAAGCGGUGGAACAUGUGGUUUAAUUCGAAGCUACGCGAAGAACCUUACCAGGUCUUGACAUCUUCUGACAGUCUAAGAGAUUAGAGGUUCCCUUCGGGGACUG